UACGUAGGGUGCGAGCGUUGUCCGGAAUUAUUGGGCGUAAAGAGCUCGUAGGCGGUGUGUCGCGUCGGCCGUGAAAACCUGCAGCUUAACUGUGGGCUUGCGGUCGAUACGGGCAUCACUGGAGUUCGGCAGGGGAGACUGGAAUUCCUGGUGUAGCGGUGAAAUGCGCAGAUAUCAGGAGGAACACCGGUGGCGAAGGCGGGGUCUCUGGGCCGAUAACUGACGCUGGAGGGAGCGAAAGCGUGGGGAGCGAACAGG
rnacentral:rRNA from 1 species